rnacentral:rRNA from 1 species
UAACCUGCUAAAUAGGUGCGCGAUUUCAUGAUGGAAUUGUAGUGUGCAACUUCUUAGAGGGACUAUUGGUGUUUAACCAAUGGAAGUUUUAGGCAAUAACAGGUCUGUGAUGCCCUUAGAUGUUCUGGGCCGCACGCGCGCUACACUGAUAAAGGCAACGAGGGAACCGUAAGCCUGUCCUGGAAGGGAUGGGAAAUCUUUGGAAACUUUAUCGUGCUGGGGAUAGAUCUUUGCAAUUUUCGAUCUUUAACGAGGAAUUCCUAGUAAGCGCAAGUCAACAGCUUGCGUUGAUUACGUCCCUGCCCUUUGUACACACCGCCCGUCGCUACUACCGAUUGAAUGGCU